rnacentral:lncRNA from 1 species
GAAAAUUUAACCAAUGUGGCAAUUUUAAGAGGCGAGCAUAACUUCUCAAGGACCUUCUGCAAAGGCGUCCAGUCGGUGAGGUAAUUUCCUGCUGCUUAAUUAGCAUUGGUUUACAGAGCGCAUUGGAAUUUAAGGAUGUGGUUUUUCUAAUUUCUUUAAGCUUGAAAAGGAAAAAAAACCAACCCCAAAACAACAACGUAUGCCGGCAGUCCAUUCCUUGGGAGCAUUCAAAUGAGGUGGGGGCAGAGGCUUGGGCAUCACUGAACUUCAGGGGCCCGCAGAGAGGAUGAAUCUGAAUGGUGCUGUGUGGAAAGAUCAGCACCGAAGAGUCUGUAGUCCUUUCCAGUCAGGACAUGGAUGCUGCUUGUGAAUUUAAAACCAAAGACAAUCAAGAUCUUGGAGAGAAAGAGAAGCUGUUUUUGCAGCACGGGAGUUUAGUUCUCUCCAGCAGUUACACAUUCUCUGGAUAAAUAAAUAAUCACACUAUUUCUGCUGUCAAAGCUGAAAGCAUGCACAGCUGUUUGCCACACGAUACGCCGGGACUACAAGGUAUAACGUUUCUUAAUUAGACUGACCUGGGUUUGCGAAGCAGCAUCAUUAG